rnacentral:rRNA from 1 species
GACUUACUUUAAAAAGGAUAGCUUUAGAUUCUUCUCUCUCUUUAAGAAUUAGUCUAUAAGCUAUAAGACCCUUAUAGUAUAAAAUAUUAGCCGUUGUAUUCCCGUAUUAUAUCUCUUACUUAGCCUUUAAAUAAAGACUAUUUUAUAUAAUUUAACUCGUAGAAUAUUAUUAUAACGAUAGCUUUAUUAGUUAAUCUUGAAAAUUUUAGUUAAGUUAACGUUAUAAACUUAAGGAUAAAUAAGAUAGUUUAUAUAAAUAUAAAGGUAUAAAUAGGCUUGAACUUUCGUAUUUAUAGUAAAAUAAAAACAAAAAAGAGUAAGCUAACUUUUAAAAGUAUAUAUAUAUCUAUAGAUCGUUUUUAAAACGAAAAAGCAAAGAGAAAAGUAGAGUAUAUAACUACGUUAAAAUCACUUAGACUCUUUAGUCUAAAUAAUAUAAGUCUUUACUUAAUAAAAGCUAAGUAAAGAAGAAGAAGUAGAAUAGUUAUACUUAUAUAAGAGACGUAAGUAUAGAAAGCGAGGAACGUUAUAUUAUAUACUUAGGCGAUAAAAGAAUACUAAUAUAUACGUUGAAAUAAACUUUAUAAGCUUUAAUAAUUAAACUAAGUAAUAAUAAUAGUUACGUAACAAUUAUAAGUAUAAGAGAUAAGGAGCUUUAGAAUAAAUAGACUAAGUAUAAAGAAUAUUAGUAUAUAAGGUAGGACUUACUUAUUAAGCUUAUAAUAUAAAGUAAAGGAAUUAUAAUACUUUUAUAAAGGACGUACGUAUAAAAAGCGAAGAUAAAAUAUUAUAUAUAUAAAAGAAUAAUAUAUAUUUAAAAAUAAAGGUAUUAUUACCCCUACUUUUAGUACGUAAGUAUAUAAUACGUAGUUAUUUACUUAUAACUUAUAAGAAAGAUAAGAAAUCUAUUACUUACGUUUAAGACGUGAGUGUGAAAUACGUAGUAGUUUACGUAAAAGAAAUGUUAUACUUACGUUUAUAACGUAAGUGUAAAAUACGUAGUAGUGUACGUAUAAGAAAUAUUAUACUUACGUUUAUAACGUAAGUAUAAGAUACGUAAUAAUCUACUUAUAACUUAAAAGAAAGAUAAGAAAGUUAUUACUUACGUUUAAGACGUAGGUAUAAGAUACGUAGUAGUGUACUUAUAAGCUCUAAGAAAGAUAAGAAAUGUUAUACUCACGUUUAUAAUGUAAGUGUGAAAUACGUAGUAGUUUACUUAUAAAAAUAUCAUAUUUACGUUUAUAACGUAAGUAUAAGAUAGGUAAUAAUCUACUUAUAAGCUCUUAGUAUACUUAUAAGCUCUAAGAAAGAUAAGAAAUCUCAUACUUACGUUUAUAAUGUGAGUGUGAGAAACGUAGUACUUUACUUAUAAGCUCUAAGAAAGAUAAGAAAUCUUAUACUUACGUCUAAGAUAUAAGUGUAAUAAUACGAAAAAACCUUAAAUCCUAAACCGAAAUAGCUACUAAGAAUAACCCGAAUAUACUAGCCUUGAAAAUAGAUAGCGCUUAAGCGUCCUACCUAUACCCCGCUCUUAGGGUAGAAACGAUGCCCUAAGGAGUAGGCGGCCGUAGAGGUUAGUGACGAAGCCUAAGGCGUGAGCCCGGGUCGAACGGCCUUUAGUGUAGAUCUUAGUAGUAGUAGCAAAUACUUUAAUGAGAACUUAAAGGACCGAAGUGGGGAAAGGUUCUAUAUAAAUAGCGGUUAGAUAUAAGUUAGUCGAUCCUAAGCUAUAAGGAAGUUCCGUUUUAAAGGGGCACUUAUACCCCGUGUAGCGAAAGGGAAGCCGGUUAAUAUUCCGGCACUUAGAUAUAGGUUUUACGCGGUAACGUAACUAAACGCGGAGACGACGGCGGAGGCCCUAAGUAGAGUUCUCUUUUCUUCUUAACGAUCUAUCACCCUAGAAAUAGUUUAUCUAAAGAUAGGGUUUAAUAGUCGGAAGAGCCUAGCACUUCUACUAGGUCCGGUGCGCUCUCGACGUCCUUUGAAAAUCCGCGGGAAGGAAUAAUUCUCACACUAGGUCGUACUUAUAACCGCAGUAGGUCUCUAAGGUAAACAGCCUCUAGUUAAUAGAAUAAUGUAGAUAAAGGAAGUCGGCAAAAUAGAUCCGUAACUUCGGGAAAAGGAUUAGCUCUAAGGGUUAGGUGCGUUAGGCCUUAGGCGGACGCACUAGGAGCAGGAGGCCAUUAGCCGGGCAACCGGCGGGCGGCCGCUAGCAUCCGGUGUCCGAUGCCCUUGGUAGGCUUCGGCCGUCCGGCGCACGGUUAACAACCAACUUAGAACUAGUAUAGAUAAGGGGAAUCUGACUGUCUAAUUAAAACAUAGCAUUACGAUAGCUAGAAAGUAGUGUUGACGCAAUGUGAUUUCUACCUAGUGCUCUGAAUGUCAUAAUAAAGUAAUUUAACUAAGCGCGGGUAAACGGCGGGAGUAACUAUAACUCUCUUAAGGUAGCCAAAUGCCUCGUUAUCUAAUUAGUGACGCGUAUAAAUGGAUUAACGAGAUUCCCACUGUCCCUAUCUACUAUCUAGCGAAACUAUAGCUAAGGGAACGGGCUUAAUAGAAUCAGCGGGGAAAGAAGACCCUAUUGAGCUUGACUCUAGUUUAACAUUAUAAAAAGACAUAGGAGGUGUAGAAUAGGUGGGAGCUUCGGCGCCGGUGAAAUACCACUACUCUUAUUGUUUUUUUACUUAUUCAAUGAAGCGGCGCUAGAUUUACGUCCAACUUCUAGUUUUAAGGUCCUUCGCGGGCCGAGCCGGGUUAAAGAUAUUGUUAAGUGGGGAGUUUAGCUAGGGCGGCACAUCUAUUAAACUAUAACGCAAGUGUCCUAAGGGGGGCUUAUAGAGAAUAGAAAUCUCCAGUAAAACAAAAGGGUAAAAGUCCCCUUAAUUUUGAUUUUCAGUGUGAAUACAAACUAUAAAAGUGUGGCCUAUCGAUCCUUUAGUCCCUCGAGAUUUAAGGCUAGAGGUGCUAGAAAAGUUACUAUAGGUUAGUCAACCUCCGAUAACGCUUUUUUUUUUUUUAAUCAAUAAACUCUUAUUAACAUAUUCUAAAGGGAUAACUAGCUUAUAGCGGCUAAGCGUUUAUAGCGACGUCGCUUUUUAAUCCUUCGAUGUCGGCUCUUCUUAUUAUACCGAAGCAGAAUUCGGUAAGCGUUGGAUUGUUCACCUACUAAUAAGGAACGUGAGCUAGGUUUAGACCGUCGUAAGACAAGUUAGUUUUACCUUACUAAUGAACUCAUCGCAAUAGUAAUUAAGCUUAGUACGAGAGGAACCGCUUAUUCAGAUAAUUGGUUUUUGCGGUUGUCCGACCGGGUAGUGCCGCGACGCUACCAUCUACUAGAUAAUGGCUGAACGCCUCUAAGUUAGAAUCUAUGCUAGAACGCGAUGAUACCUCCCGCACGUUGUAGACGUAUAAGAAUAGGCUCCGGCCUCGCAUCUUAGCUAGCGAUUCCUCUACCGUUCUCGAAGUGAGCGGUAGUAAUUCGC